rnacentral:rRNA from 1 species
AGGCGAGGCUGAAAAGCGUAGUCGAUGGGAAGCAGGUUAAUAUUCCUGCACUUGGUGUUACUGCGAAGGGGGGACGGAGAAGGCUAGGUUAUCCGGGCGACGGUUGUCCCGGUUUAAGCGUGUAGGCUGAUACCUUUGGUAAAUCCGGGGUAUCUUAAGGCUGAGGCGUGACGACGAGCCACCACGGUGGUGAAGUAACUGAUGCCCUGCUUCCAGGAAAAGCCUCUAAGCUCCAGGUAACACGAAAUCGUACCCCAAACCGACACAGGUGGUCAGGUAGAGAAUA